rnacentral:rRNA from 1 species
UACGGAGGGUGCAAGCGUUAAUCGGAAUUACUGGGCGUAAAGCGUGCGUAGGCGGUUCGUUAAGUCUGUUGUGAAAGCCCCGGGCUCAACCUGGGAAUGGCAAUGGAUACUGGCGAGCUAGAGUGUGUCAGAGGAUGGUGGAAUUCCCGGUGUAGCGGUGAAAUGCGUAGAGAUCGGGAGGAACAUCAGUGGCGAAGGCGGCCAUCUGGGACAACACUGACGCUGAGGAGCGAAAGCAUGGGGAGCGAACAGG